rnacentral:lncRNA from 1 species
CAGAGCUCCCCUUGCUGCCCAGACAAGCUGAAGGACCACAGGAACUCAAAUACACAGGAAACAGUUGUUUCAUGUGUCGGACUCCUUUCCAUUGCUCUUUCCAAUGUGGUAAUGCAGCUAAACUAAGAGAAAAGCCAUGGAGACUUCAGCAUCCUCCUCCCAGCCUCAGGACAACAGUCAAGUCCACAGAGAAACAGAAGAUGUAGACUAUGGAGAGACAGAUUUCCACAAGCAAGAUGGGAAGGCUGGACUCUUUUCCCAAG